GACGAACGCUGGCGGCGUGCUUAACACAUGCAAGUCGAACGGAAAGGCCCUGCUUUUGUGGGGUGCUCGAGUGGCGAACGGGUGAGUAACACGUGAGUAACCUGCCCUUGACUUUGGGAUAACUUCAGGAAACUGGGGCUAAUACCGGAUAGGAGCUCCUGCUGCAUGGUGGGGGUUGGAAAGUUUCGGCGGUUGGGGAUGGACUCGCGGCUUAUCAGCUUGUUGGUGGGGUAGUGGCUUACCAAGGCUUUGACGGGUAGCCGGCCUGAGAGGGUGACCGGCCACAUUGGGACUGAGAUACGGCCCAGACUCCUACGGGAGGCAGCAGUGGGGAAUAUUGCACAAUGGGCGGAAGCCUGAUGCAGCAACGCCGCGUGCGGGAUGACGGCCUUCGGGUUGUAAACCGCUUUCGCCUGUGACGAAGCGUGAGUGACGGUAAUGGGUAAAGAAGAACAGGCUAACUACGUG
rnacentral:rRNA from 1 species